UCACAGACAGGAGAAAAGCUCUUUCCAGAGAGAUGGAGAAGGAAUUAAUUAGACCUCUGCCUCAUCCUGCAAGACCAGAAGACAUGGAGUAACUACGACGUGGGGUACAUUUCUCUGCUGCACUUGUGGUUUUCCACCUGUAGUUUUUCACUUGUGGUUUUCCACGUGGUUCGCACUGCUUCCAUUAUUGAGAAAACGGUUUGGGAAGCUGCGUCUGCCACUUCUCAGGAUUUUCUGCCGCCACCUGCUGGCAAAAAAAAUCAGUAACGCAGGUGGAGCCAUGUAGGACUUCUCAGAGGUAAGCCUUCAACGUACGGGGACCCCUAAACUCGUGAGCCAAGCACGCAAGACAAAUGUCCGUGGCACAAAGAUCAAGGACGACUUCUCAGAGGUAAGCAGCUUUCCCUUUGUUUUCCCAUCCUCUCAGGAGCCCUCUUUAUGAUGCUUGUACACACUUCAGGCUCACAACACUCAUUUUCUCCUCUACUUAGUAUUCCUAGUCCCUGGCUAACCCGUCCUCCCUCCCCCCACUUUCCAAAGACCUACGUGCUCUGCUCAGGUCCCUCCUGAGGUCUUACAGAUCUUUUAAAUCUGCUCAGCAUUCUUUCUGGCUUGUUCUGUGCCAUUAUUUUUUCCCUGCUCCUUUUGAGAAUGUCUGUACCCUUUUCAGAUCUCGAUUGGGUUGGCUUUUUUGAACCCAUCUGCAUAGCCUUUUGUUUUUUAGAUAGUCUACUAAGGUAGGUUACUUCUCUGGUGAGUUAUUUUACUACAUUGAAUUGUAUUUUUGUGGUUUGUAAUCUGUUACACUCCUAGAUUAUUUCUACCUAUGUAAAGAAAGGUUUCAGCUAAUUACAGUCAAAAACAGUUUUAGUUACCUACUUGGUAAUAUUGUCGUUUCAAUAAUCAGGACUGAAGCAAAAGCACAGGAAUUGUUGCCUCUAGUAACGCCCCACACACCGUUGAGCUAAGCCAAAUAAAAAACGCAGCUGCUGCUCUCUUUAUCCCUUCCUGUGCUUUGCCCCUCCUCUUUCCCAGGUGAUUGGGGCAGGGUGCCGGGUGGGGCCUAAUGGUAUAUGAGCCGCAGGUGUCCUGUCAGAGAGCUCAUUCUGCCUGAGCUGCUCUUUGGGGUAAGUGCUUUGUUUUUCCUUCAGUCAGUUGCAGUUUUUUUUUUUUUUAAGGUGCGUCAGAGUCUAGGGGUUGAUGCGUUUCUAAGUUGAAAGAGAUAAGUACAUCUAUUGAAAGUAACAUCUAGUAGGAUCAUUUAAAGUAAACUAAUCUAUAUAGUAGUAGAUGCCUUUAUUGCAUGCAGCUCUUCUUCAGGUGAGUAAUUCUUAUAGUAUAAGUAAUUCUUCUCCCAUGUUUUGGUCACGAUGUUUGUAGCGUGCCUUUUUAUGUGUGUGUUUGGCCUGGGGCUGUCCUGCCUGACAAUUAGUGAUGGUAGCUAAAGUGGUGGUUCAUCAGUGCAAUAAUACAUUGUCCUGACUCUUUUGGGAAAGACAUCUGGUCUGUCUCUGGGCGAAUACUCAAGCUCUGGGCGAGUACUCAAGGGCAGCUGGCACAGAGUCUUUUUUCUUUUUUUCCCAGCAGUAGGUAAACCUUAGGAGGAAUUGGUCAAAGGAAACAGCAACUGUGAAGUUCUUGUUCGGCAACUCGGUGACUGGUUUGAUCUACUUCUCAGAUGUAGAGGCAAAUGGACUGCUCUUUUGAAAUGAUAAAAUAAAAAACAUGAAUUUUGUCAAA